ensembl:lincRNA
AUGUCACUUCCUUGGCGACACCUUUCUCCAACCUCUAGGAUCGAGGAAGGGGCACCAUCGUGCUGCACCCGGGAAAAUUCACACAAUGAAGCUGGUCCCAGCCGGCCGGGACGCCCCUGCAGCUGUGCGCCCCCUCCAUACCCUGGCACUCACCGCCGGCUACCCCCAGCCCGGAGGCGGGCACUGAAGUGGGAGCGCAGAAAAACCGGCCCGCGGAGCCCUACUCUUCGAAAGCUGUUAACAAUAGCACACCGCCCCCUCCGCCCGCCUCCGCGGCCCUUUGUCCCUCACCCCUUCCCCUGCAGCUCUGACCCUUUUCCUCGCCCAGGGACCCCGACCCACCUCCCGGACCACGUAGAGCCCUUCGACUCUCCAAAACCCAGCUGCGCGCUUCAGAAAGAGGGGGAGGGACAAGGAAUGAGACUGCGGAGCUCAGAGAUCCGACCUCCAGCCUGUCCUCAGUCCCCGCCACCAACUCUCUUGCAGCGGCGCGCGCCUCCAGCCGUUCCCACACCGCAAACCACCGCGCUGCCCCGGGCGGCGGCUGUCAGCACUGCCAGACCUACACUCACACAAAGAGAAAGCGAAGGGACUGAACUUGGGCAAAAAUGAAAACUCAGAUCCUCUAAAUUCGGUUAGAAGUGUGUCAGACCCUGCCCACCGCCCCUAGACACGAGUCGUCCCGGCAGCAUCGGGGGCGCACCCGAUCCGGGUGGAAAGGGAGUCAGAAACCGAGAGCGUUUAGGACCGCGCGGAGCUCUCCGGGCAGCCGCCUAGUGCGCUGCGGGGCCGGGGCGACGGAGCCCGCACCUGCCGGCCGCGAGCGCGGGAGGGCUGGGACUCGGGCUGCAGGCGCACCUAACUGGCCGCCCACGCCACACUCUGGCUGCUCGCGCUGCCAGGCUAGUGGCCGCUGGGGACUCGGACACACUCGCUCUCCCACCCACGGCCGCCCACCUCCUGUUGUUCUGGUACUGAAUGCUAAGCACGGUAGCAGCCCUUAAAGCGGCCAGCUAGAAAAGCACUUUUCCUAAAGUUCCGUCUUCCCUUGCAACAACCAGAAGCUACGUUUACUUCUGGGGCGCUGGGAGAACAGUUACAUUUUAACUUAAUAAUUGUACAGCUUUUUUUUUUUUUUAAGCGGUGAGGGAAGAAGGCUAGAGAAAUUUACUAUUUACCGCUCUGGGCUCAGGCUCAGUAAAGAUCCAAAGGAGAAAAAACUGGGCCUCGAGUAUCUGAAACUAUCCUCAUCUCAGGCCUGAGCCCUUCUCACCUUCUGGCAUCAUCUACAGUCCAACGAAGCUAAACAUGUAGUUUAGAUUGUGCUCCACAUCUGGCAUUAAAGCAUGAGGAAGAAAAAUCACCACAGGACUUUGUUUUUUACGACCUAGUUUAAGUGUUGUCAGGUGGGUUCACUCAGAAGUUAACUCCUUCCAACAGUCUGGUUGCCCAAACUGGCGCUUAAUUUAAAAAAAAAAAAAAGUAAAGGGGGGAAAAAUAAAAGCUAGAUUCCUCCCACCCUAAUCAGGACUAUGUUGGUUGACUUUGUGCUGUAGGGCUAAAGGUGCCUCAGCAGGCACGUGUGUGCAGGCAUCAAAACGGGCAGAGUCACCACCCUCCAGUCUGCAGCCCUCAGUGCUGAGUCACAAAUACCCUCCUAGGAAAAUGAAAUCCUCGGAAUGCCCUUUAAAAUUAGCUUGCAGCUUUUACACGGGCAUGCACACACUCACAUCAGAGAACCAUUCAGGAAACCCACACAGGGCUGCACACUGUAGAAAUUAAAAAAUAGAGGUUAUAACUUGAUAACUAGAAGGACAAACACCCCUGGUGAGCAUUCUGUCCUUUCCCAAGUCAUUUUCCCCAAAGCCUCUGUCCCUGCUAUUCAGAGUCUAAAAUAUGACUUUAGCCCUCCUCCCAACAGAACAAUCAGUCAGCAAUCUUCGCCUACGGGGCUUUUCAGACACACUUGGGGGGAAU